rnacentral:lncRNA from 1 species
UAGCAGAAUUCAGUGAAAUCUGUUUAUACAAUCUGAUGUUUUAUUCCAGGAUCUAGAACUUCAUUUGAAAUUGGAGUGCCCGUCUGGAGAUUGAAUGGAACAGCUGCUGAGGAACAGUUUAUCUCUUUGUGUUGUCAAAGGAAUACUUUCUUCAUUAUGCCUUGCUACAGAUUAAAAUUACUGAAUGAUCUGGCUUGUCUUCAAGAGAAAAAACAAAACAAAACACUGGAUCAUGAUUACCGAAUUCUGGAAUUUUCUGCAAUUAGAUUUAGAUAGUAAUGAAUUACCACUAUUUUAUGGAGGCAAACAGCUGCAAUGAUCUUAAUCCUGAGUGAUACAUUUAAAAGUUCUGACAUGAAGGAAAGCCGUCCUGGGGGGCACUUACAUCAUCUAGAAGAAUGCGGAGAACCUUUAUUUCUUUUGUUUAGCAACAUUUUUAGUUCCAAGAGGUACUGACAAAACAUCUGAAAUUGACAAAACAUCUGAAAACUAACAGACAGAAGAACUAAGUCCCGAUAAGAAAUGGUAUUUUGCAAGACAAUGUGCAAUUCACUGAACUAUUACCCUCCUAUUUUUUCACACAACCAAAAAUUUAUUUUAAAGAUUUACAAAAAAAAAAAAAUUGCACACGGAGAGAGAAUUACAAAAUGAACAAGCAGAUUUUCAAAAAGACACAAGAUGAGACAACUAAUAUAAGAUGGAUAAGCAUGACUAUAAGAGAAUGGAAGAAUGAAUUUUAUCUUUCCUUUAAUAACGACGGUAAGGCCUGAUUAUAUAGAACAUUCCUGAAUGUGGAACAUAUUAAAGCUAAUCAACAUGUCAGAACACCUGAUUAUUCUUUUGAGGAGCCUUUGGAAUAAACAAGAAUUUCCUGUAAUAGCUGAGUUUGAAGAUUCUAAAUAGGAAAAGGUACGUGAUAAGUAUGCAUAUUAUCUCUAUUUUUAACAAAAAUAGCAUAUAGAUUAAA